GCUGGGUGUUGGUGGCAUGUGCCUGUAAUCCAAGUCACUGGGAGGCUGAGGUUGGUGGAUCAAGUGAGCUGAGGAGCUCUGGCUGCACACAACUAUGUGAACGGGUGUCACGCUAAGUUCGGUAUCGUAUGGUUUCCUGGGGAGCCCGGGACCACCAGGUUGUCUAAGGAGGGGUGAACCGGCCCAGGUCGGAAACGAGCAGGUCAAAUCCCCGUGCUGUCCAGUAGUGGGAUAAUACCUGUGAGUAGAUGCUGCGUGCAGCCUUGGCAAACUUGAGACCUAAUCUUUU
rnacentral:SRP_RNA from 1 species